rnacentral:tRNA from 1 species
AUCUAAAUAGUUUAUAUUUAAAAUAUUGAUUUGUGGGAUCAAGGAAAAAUUAUUUUUUUAGAUA